AAUGAUGGCAGAUUUCAAAGACCGAAGCCUGGGUUCAGACUGUACUGUGUCAUUUCUUACAUCCUAUUGCCCAAAGCAAGUCACAGGUGGUGGGGAAAUAGAUGUUAUCUCUUGUUGGGAGAAGCUGCAGAGAAUUAUGGCCACUUUUUGCAGUCUUACAGAUGGUGAGAAAUAGAAGAGAUGAACUGAAAAGAAAUGAGGAAAACAAAGUAACACCAAACUGCCACAUAUAUUUUCACUCCUAAAAUCACAGAACUAAUUGAAGGUGACUGAUACCUUGUUGCAUAGACAAAACACCAUAGAUGAAUCAAGCAAUUUUUCUAAUAUAAAUUAAGAGACAAAGAACAAAAUAAGUGUGCCAGUACUUACUGUAAACUAUAAUUCAUCUGGGCAAUAGGACAUCUUUCAAGUCAUAAAUUUUUAUCUUUAUUUUUCCCUGUGACAGUUUCUUCAAAGGACGUCAAGAUCGGUCCAAUUGGUCAUGAAAAUAUGCUGCCAGGACCACAGAGAACUAAGCAAAGACUGGAGUGAUGGAUCUGCAAGCCAAGAAGUCCAAGGACUAAUUGCCAACACCAACAGCCAUGAAGACACAAGGAAGGAUUCUUCCAAGGUUUGAGAGGGAUCAUGGCUCUGCUAACACCUUGAUUUUGGACUUCCAGAAAUCUGAUGUGUGCAGAAUUAAAAUUUUGUUGCUUUAAAC
ensembl:lncRNA